rnacentral:rRNA from 1 species
CAGCCGCCGCGGGAAUACGAAGGGGGCUAGCGUUGCUCGGAAUCACUGGGCGUAAAGGGUGCGUAGGCGGGUCUUUAAGUCAGGGGUGAAAUCCUGGAGCUCAACUCCAGAACUGCCUUGAUACUGAAGAUCUUGAGUUCGGGAGAGGUGAGUGGAACUGCGAGUGUAGAGGUGAAAUUCGUAGAUAUUCGCAAGAACACCAGUGGCGAAGGCGGCUCACUGGCCCGAUACUGACGCUGAGGCACGAAAGCGUGGGGAGCAAACAGGAUUAGAUACCCGCGUAGUCCCUGUCUCUUAUACA